GCUUAGCCCUAAACACAGAUAAUUAUCAAACAAAAUAUUUGCCUGAGAACUACUGGCCACAGCUUAAAACUCAAAGGACUUGGCGGUACUUUAUGUCCAUC
rnacentral:rRNA from 1 species